UACGUAGGGCGCAAGCGUUGUCCGGAAUUAUUGGGCGUAAAGAGCUCGUAGGCGGUCUGUUGCGUCCGCUGUGAAAACUCGGGGCUUAACCCCGAGCCUGCAGUGGAUACGGGCAGACUAGAGGUAGGUAGGGGAGAAUGGAAUUCCCGGUGUAGCGGUGAAAUGCGCAGAUAUCGGGAGGAACACCGGUGGCGAAGGCGGCAUCCUGGACCGAUACUGACGCUGAGGAGCGAAAGCCAGGGGAGCAAACGGG
rnacentral:rRNA from 1 species